rnacentral:rRNA from 4 species
GUCAUAUGCUUGUCUCAAAGAUUAAGCCAUGCAUGUCUCAGUACAAGCCAAAUUAAGGUGAAACCGCGAAAGGCUCAUUAAAUCAGUUAUGGUUCCUUAGAUCGUACCCACAAUUACUUGGAUAACUGUGGUAAUUCUAGAGCUAAUACAUGCAAACAGAGCUCCGACCGGAGACGGAAGGAGUGCUUUUAUUAGAUCAAAACCAAUCGGUGGCGGGUUCGCUCGUCAUCGUACAACUUGGUGACUCUGAAUAACUUUACGCUGAUCGCACGGUCACCGCACCGGCGACGCAUCUUUCAAAUGUCUGCCUUAUCAACUGUCGAUGGUAGGUUCUGCGCCUACCAUGGUUGUAACGGGUAACGGGGAAUCAGGGUUCGAUUCCGGAGAGGGAGCCUGAGAAACGGCUACCACAUCCAAGGAAGGCAGCAGGCGCGCAAAUUACCCACUCCCGGCACGGGGAGGUAGUGACGAAAAAUAACGAUACGGGACUCAUCCGAGGCCCCGUAAUCGGAAUGAGUACACUCUAAACCCUUUAACGAGGAUCAAUUGGAGGGCAAGUCUGGUGCCAGCAGCCGCGG